UACGUAGGGCGCAAGCGUUGUCCGGAAUUAUUGGGCGUAAAGAGCUCGUAGGCGGCUUGUCACGUCGGAUGUGAAAGCCCGGGGCUUAACCCCGGGUCUGCAUUCGAUACGGGCAGGCUAGAGUGUGGUAGGGGAGAUCGGAAUUCCUGGUGUAGCGGUGAAAUGCGCAGAUAUCAGGAGGAACACCGGUGGCGAAGGCGGGUCUCUGGGCCGAUACUGACGCUGAGGAGCGAAAGCAUGGGGAGCGAACAGG
rnacentral:rRNA from 1 species